rnacentral:rRNA from 1 species
CGGAAGGUGCUUGCACCUUUAAGUGAGUGGCGAACGGGUGAGUAACACGUGGACAACCUGCCUCAAGGCUGGGGAUAACAUUUGGAAACAGAUGCUAAUACCGAAUAAAACUUAGUGUCGCAUGACACAAAGUUAAAAGGCGCUUCGGCGUCACCUAGAGAUGGAUCCGCGGUGCAUUAGUUAGUUGGUGGGGUAAAGGCCUACCAAGACAAUGAUGCAUAGCCGAGUUGAGAGACUGAUCGGCCACAUUGGGACUGAGACACGGCCCAAACUCCUACGGGAGGCUGCAGUAGGGAAUCUUCCACAAUGGGCGAAAGCCUGAUGGAGCAACGCCGCGUGUGUGAUGAAGGCUUUCGGGUCGUAAAGCACUGUUGUAUGGGAAGAACAGCUAGAAUAGGAAAUGAUUUUAGUUUGACGGUACCAUACCAGAAAGGGACGGCUAAAUACGUGCCAGCAGCCGCGGUAAUACGUAUGUCCCGAGCGUUAUCCGGAUUUAUUGGGCGUAAAGCGAGCGCAGACGGUUUAUUAAGUCUGAUGUGAAAGCCCGGAGCUCAACUCCGGAAUGGCAUUGGAAACUGGUUAACUUGAGUGCAGUAGAGGUAAGUGGAACUCCAUGUGUAGCGGUGGAAUGCGUAGAUAUAUGGAAGAACACCAGUGGCGAAGGCGGCUUACUGGACUGCAACUGACGUUGAGGCUCGAAAGUGUGGGUAGCAAACAGGAUUAGAUACCCUGGUAGUCCACACCGUAAACGAUGAACACUAGGUGUUAGGAGGUUUCCGCCUCUUAGUGCCGAAGCUAACGCAUUAAGUGUUCCGCCUGGGGAGUACGACCGCAAGGUUGAAACUCAAAGGAAUUGACGGGGACCCGCACAAGCGGUGGAGCAUGUGGUUUAAUUCGAAGCAACGCGAAGAACCUUACCAGGUCUUGACAUCCUUUGAAGCUUUUAGAGAUAGAAGUGUUCUCUUCGGAGACAAAGUGACAGGUGGUGCAUGGGUCGUCGUCAGCUCGUGUCGUGAGAUGUUGGG